AUGUUUUAGGAGCACAUAUACUAAAAUUGGAAUGAUAUGGAGAAGAUUCACAUGGGCCCUGCACAAGGAUGACAUGCAAAUUCGUGAAGCAUUCCAUAUUUUU